rnacentral:lncRNA from 1 species
UAUUGUUUAUCUAUAGUAAUGAUAUUGAACAGAUUUUGAUUUCGUUGUUCUUUUAAUAAUUGAACGAAUUUGUAAAAAAUAGUAUUUUAAUUAUAGCUGGCCUAUUAUUAUAGUGGGAAACUCUAUAUCUUCCUUAUAUCAAAUGCAAUUAGGAAAAAAACAUAUGUUAGUACAGGUCAGAUGUGUAUAAAUUUUGUUUGUUAUUUAUAAGAUACGAAAGUGUGAGUGUGAUCUACACAAGAACCAUUUAUAUUAAAAUAUUUAUGGCUUAAGAUGUUUAAGAUUUAGUCCAGUUUACUUCCAAAUUAUCAAUUACAUGGUUUAACAAGUGACACAUUUAAUAUACAUGUAUCAUAUAAAAGAAGAACUCUUUGUGUAGUUACAUUAAUGUGUUAAUAAAACCAUGAUUGCAGUGUGAUUAAUAAUUGGUUGUGAUGGGUUGCUGUUACUUCUAAAUCACUAUAUUCAUAGAUUGUAUAACUUGUUAAAAUAGACGGCCUAUCGAUACAAUACAACACAUCAUUUUCAUUAUCAAGUGAUAUCUAUCAUAUUAUGUUAUUUCAAAGGGAGGCUUGCUUUAUUUCUUAGUUUUUAGAUUUUGUGGAGAAGAAAAAAAGUAUAAAUUUUUGUUUUGUUUUCAAAAGAUAUUCAUAUUAUGUUUGACUGGAAUAGUGAAUAUGUUAACCUUUGACCUUAAAAAGUUGUUGAGACUAGGGGCAUCUUUCAUUGAUACUGGUCUUUGAACUUUUGAACACUUGAUUCACCUUUUUUUUUUGGGGGGGGGGGUAACAAAUUUCUGUUUAAUAUUUUGGAAAGACAAUUUAUCAAAUAAUCAAUUUUUAAUACAUUUCCUUCUUGAAUAAUUGAAACAAUCUUUAAAAUAUUAAAUGCAAUACAUCUUGAAGAAACAGUGAAAUUAGGACUUUAUCUUAUGUUCAGUCAAGUUCAACCUGAGUAGAUGGAUCAGUGCCUAACAUGAUAAAUAGCAAUUAAUAAAUGUAAAAUGGAACUUACUUCCUGGUAAGCAAUUGAUUAACUUACAAAUGGUUUAUACUACAAUAUGAUGCACUGUUAUUUUUAUUACCAGACAAUAAAGUUACUGUGUGAUUUGGGAAAUGAGAAAACACAAAAUUUUGAUUUAUGUAUGAAUAAUGAACAUAAGAGACAAGUUCAGCCAGGAUGUUGUUUGGAAAUUUAUUACCAAUCAGUAAAUCUGAAAAUUAUAAAUUUAAGGGUAUGAAAUUUAGGCUGCAUACAAAAAAUCAACAUCGUUUUUCUUGCAAAUUUGCUAUGUAUAUUUCAAACAUAUCAACUGUUUAAAUUAUUUCACUCUGUCAUACUCUUGUGAUGACUAAAGAGGGUGACUAUCAGAAUUUAUCUGUAAAAAAAUAUUUAGUCUAGCAGAUCCUUAACAUGUAAAUCUAAUUUCAAUUUGCAUUGAAACUUAACAUGAUCAUUAUAUUUCUUUCUAAAUCCAGUAUAUAUCUACAUGGAUGACAACUUUGAAAUUAACAUUUAUAGUAAGUUAUUCAAUGACUUGAUUAAUUUUAAAGAUAUGUGAAAUUUUCAGUUUUCUCAUUUGUCAAUUCCCACACUCUAUAUUACAAUAGAUAAUUGCCAGAAGUAUGGUGCUCAUAUACAUAAAGUAGGAUGGUACACUUGUUAGCCUUGUUAGGGGAUUAUUUGUUAAAACAUUUCAUUGUUAUGUAUAGGUAUAUAUUUUCAUUAUACUAUGCAUUUUAUUUAUUUAUAAUAAAAGAAACUAAUAUCGUUUGCAUUAUAUAAGUUUUUACACACACAUUUAGAAUAGCAUAGUGUCCAAAGGUCCAUAUCCUGUUUGAUAUGAAAAUUCAAAAAGAGACUAGCCCUUGGCUGCAGCAGUUUGUCUUGCCCUGAUAUUGUGAAGGGUAAACUGGUAUUUCUUUCAAGGACUUUCUAAAUGGAAUCACCUUGCUGGUUAAAUGAAGUUAAAAAUACUGAAAUUAAGAGGGGG